AUUUUUGAAGAUAGAGCUUU
rnacentral:piRNA from 1 species